ACCGGAGUUGCUUAGCGGGCUUGAAUGAUUGGCCUGAUGUGUUUUGAUGUCGGCUGCCGGGUGUCUUAUGGACGUGCUGGCAAUCUACUAAGUCGGGACAUGGUGAGUAGGUGACCACUGCCCAAAACCAGAAGGAGCGGGCGGGGGAACUGGGCUGCUCUAACUUCCAGCCUGGUAGUUGAAGUCACAGGGAGAAAAGUGACACACUUUGAAAGACAGUGACUUAUGAGGAUGUGCAUGUGAACUUCACUCAGGAAGAGUGGGCUUUGCUGGAUCCCUUCCAGAAGAAGCUCUACAAAGAUGUCAUGCUGGAGACCUACAAGAACCUCAAUGCUAUAGGCUUUAAUUGGGAAGACCAAAAUAUUGAGGAACAUUGUCAAAGUUCUAGAAGACAGAGAAGGUACUUCUUAUAUGCAAGCUCAUACAAAUAUGCCUCUGAAGAAAUUUUAAUGUGUGCUGAAAGUUUGAAAGUAAAGCAACAGUGUAAAUAAGAA
rnacentral:lncRNA from 1 species